ensembl:snoRNA
UGUAGUCAGGUCAAAUUCAGUUCCAUCCUGCUGUGGGAGUUGGCCCAGAUGACUGCUGUAAGAGCUGUACUGCUCAUGGACCCUGGAUCCCUUGCCCUGGGACCUGGGAAUAAGUUUGGCUGCAAACAUUG